rnacentral:rRNA from 1 species
GACGAACGCUGGCGGCGUGCUUAACACAUGCAAGUCGAACGGAAAGGCCCUGCUUUUGUGGGGUGCUCGAGUGGCGAACGGGUGAGUAACACGUGAGUAACCUGCCCUUGACUUUGGGAUAACUUCAGGAAACUGGGGCUAAUACCGGAUAGGAGCUCCUGCUGCAUGGUGGGGGUUGGAAAGUUUCGGCGGUUGGGGAUGGACUCGCGGCUUAUCAGCUUGUUGGUGGGGCAGUGGCUUACCAAGGCUUUGACGGGUAGCCGGCCUGAGAGGGUGACCGGCCACAUUGGGACUGAGAUACGGCCCAGACUCCUACGGGAGGCAGCAGUGGGGAAUAUUGCACAAUGGGCGGAAGCCUGAGGCAGCAACGCCGCGUGCGGGAUGACGGCCUUCGGGUUGUAAACCGCUUUCGCCUGUGACGAAGCGUGAGUGACGGUAAUGGGUAAAGAAGCACCGGCUAACUACGU